AGACCUAUUCUGGUUCUCACAGGAAAGGAUACAUGGGACAUCUUACGAAAAUUGCCAAUCACAUUGCUCAAAUGCUGAAAGUGGUGUGAACAGUAGCCUAAUAAAAGAAAAAAAAAGAUAUAUCAGAAGAGCACUCUAAGAAAUGGGAGGAAUUUGUAAAUGAUAAAUUAGCUGAGAUAAAUAAAAGAAAUACAACUUAUGUGGUCAGUGGGCCACCUGUACCACCAUCCUCCACAGAUGAAGAUUCUGUUGAUUUCAGGGACAUUCCAUUUGGAAAAGAGUCAUCUGUUCAUCUUGCUUUCUCAGAUUAUCAGAUGCAUGAGAUGACUAGUAACUUUGUUGAUCAGUUUGGUUUCAAUGAUGAUGAAUUUGGUGAUGCUGAUGAAAGUCUAAUCUAUGCCAGGAACACUCUAAAUCCUCUGUCUCAGAACUUUCCACUUAAUGAAGGAAAUAGUAUGGUGAAUUAUUUAUUGGGUACAACUCAGGAAGGAGUAUGUUAACAGAAAGAUUUUUCCAUGUGGACAAUGUACGAAAUGCAGAUGACAGUAAUGUCUACUUACACUUGUGAACUAGUGAAUAAAGGAAAUGGUGAAAAAUCA